CUGCGCGCGGCGCCGCUGGGGCGCGCUGCGCAUGCGCGGAGCGGUGAGUCCCGGUGAGGGCGGGCCUGCCCGGCUCGGUUGGUUUCAGGGAUAACACGGUUACAGGGAUAACACGGGCAUGGCACUGCUCGACUUGGUGACCGGCUCGUUGGUCUUGAUAGAGGGUAGUAAAGUUUUUGUCUGCUCCUGCAUUGCUCGAAUAGGUAUGUUGCCCACAGGUUUGUUAACCGGUUGCUAAAGAUGCGUAGCCAGAAUUUCCUGAAAGGAAAGGGUCUCUUGCCUAUAAAAAGAGCUUAUCUGAAUCAGGACUAAGCAAGGGCGUGGUGGGCAACUCUGAGCUCGAAAGUGAUACAAAUUUGGUGGCUAGGAUUGUAUUGAAGUGGAAGACUAGGAGGGUGCUUGCCUCUAGCUGAUGCUAUGGUAGCUUUAGAGGGUGCUUGCUGUUUAUAGAAAGCAGGAAAAGCUGAGGGAAAAAAUAAAAAUAUGUGUUGGUAGUGCAGUGUAUGCCUUGGCAUUUUUUUGUAAACAUGCAGUACUAUGGCUUGAAUUCACCAGAUCCUGAUGUGCCCAUACUUGCUCAUGGAAUGCACCACUCCCUUUUAGCCAUUCCUAGAGCAAGCUUUACCCUGGAAUUUAGCACACUUAUUAAGGCAAUUUAUUUCAUGCUUUUUCUCUUAUGUUUCAGUACAUUCUAGGCAAAGAGUACAAUGGGUUUUUAAAGCCUACACUUUUGUGGGGUAGGACAUGUUUAGGAACUGUACAUCCUCUAAACAUGGAGCUUCAACAGGGAAGAAAUGGCAAUCAGUCUCCUUCACUGAAGAAAAUAACGAGCUGCUGUUUUGCUCCUCCGUUGUAAAAUUAAUAGUUAUCCAUUCAAUUUUCUCGCUUCUCUGUCUUCAAGUCCCUUAGACUUCUAAUGGGAAAAAAUAAUUACAAUCAUACAGCAAACUGGUGAGUUUACCAUCCUUUCAAAAAUCUUACCUAGUACAACCUAUUUGUGAGAUACUUAAAGGUUUCACCUGGCUACACAUAUCCAUUUGUUCUCUUAGAACUGCAGCUGUAGGGCCAUAUGCAGCAUAGAGCAUAUCCACAUCCUUAGCACUUUGUUCUCUGUACUCAAGCUCUUUUUUGAAGUUCAUACAUAGAAAUGUUAACAAGGACACAGUUUCUGCCAUCUGGUCUACUUCUAUGACUUCCUUUAUACUCAUGCCAUCUUUCAUGCAACUAUGAGAACUUUAGUUUAAAAUCGGUCAUGGUAUCACCAAGUCCUUCUGAAUAAACAUAAAAUGUUGCUCUCUGGCAAGGUUUAAUAAGGCCAGAUUUACAAAACUGAUAGACAAUUUGUUGAAAGCAUGAAGUCAUGUAUUUUUGGACUGCUUUAGGAGUCAAAAUUAUUUUUAGAAGUAUUAAAACUUAUCUAUAUUUUUAAACUUUUUAUCUUUUAUGACUUAGUAUCAUCUAAGAAUGAAAACUAUAUUUGAGAUUCAAAAUACUGUAAUAAAGAAACUUUAUAGUUAAUAUUUAGAACUUGGAAGUUAUUUCUUGUGAAGGAGAUGCCUCAAAGAAGGAAAAAGGAAAACUUUCAAAGGAUAAGAUUCUUUUAAAACGAACUGAUUACUUAUGUUAACAAGAAGUUGAAAGGUGUUAAAGUCACAUGUUUUUUAAUUGCAGUACUUUGCAAAACAAAGUUACUGGGGAAUAUUCAGAACUCUUGAAGCCAGAGCUCAAAGAAUAAGUAAGUGGUUUCUGCAAGUUGAUGUACAUAUCUGCCUUAAGAAUGUGCAGCCCAUGGACAUAAGUAGUUUAGCAUGAAGGGACUUUUUACUCCAAAAAACCUAGAAUUGUACAAAGCGUGUAACAGAACUUUGAACUUCUCCUACCAGAAACUAUACCAACUGUUGUGCUGGUGCAUUUGUUGUUUGUAAAAAGCAUACUUUUCACUCAAUCCUGGUUUUGUUGGAUAUGCUUAUUAUAAUACGGUACUUGCAAGACAGGGUUAUGUUUAACAUUGGGAAAAUGGUGACUUAGUAGUCUUUCUACUAAUGUUCUGCAGAUCUUGUGUUAUCAUGCUCGAUGUGUAUUUAUUUUUCCUUCUUCCUCCCCUUUGUUUUUUUUCAAGCCUGGAAGCUUUGAGGCUAUUCAACAGAAAAUAUAGUUACUUUUUAACUACUUAAAA